rnacentral:rRNA from 1 species
CACGGGGGGAGCAAGCGUUGUUCGGAAUCACUGGGCGUAAAGGGCGUGUAGGCGGUCAGGUAAGUGAGAUGUGAAAUGCCCCGGCUCACCCGGGGACCGGCAUCUCAUACUGCUUGGCUUGAGUACGGGAGAGGAUGUGGGAAUUCCUGGUGUAGCGGUGAAAUGCGUAGAUAUCAGGAGGAACACCGGUGGCGAAGGCGCACAUCUGGCCCGAUACUGACGCUGAGGCGACGAAAGCUAGGGGAGCAAACGGG